rnacentral:snRNA from 1 species
AGAUGUGAGGGUGAUCUGGUUGUGACAGUUGUCACCCCAUUGAUUGCCAGGUUGAUUUGGCUGAUCUGGCUGGCUAGGCGGGGUGUCCCCCUUCCUCCGUCACCACUCCAUGUGUGAUCCUCCAGAAGCCUUGCACUUGGUUGAAGACUGACGGCCUACCGAGUAGAGGUCACCAGUCUUUGGUUGAGGGUAUAUUAGUAGCUGUGCUCCCCUGCUAGAACCUGAUCAGAUAUUUCCUCUAUCCUGUCAUAUUUUCAUCACCAAAAUAAUUCUCCUCCUGGAAGCUAAGCACAAAGGAGAUACUCCAACCUAGUCCAACUUGUACCCUCCAAGUUAAAAUUU